GGGCUCGUAGCUCAGUUGGUUAGAGCGUUCCCUUGACGUGGGGAAGGUCCCCAGUUCGAAUCUGGGCGAGCCCA
rnacentral:tRNA from 1 species